rnacentral:rRNA from 1 species
CUUAAGCAUAUCAAUAAGCGGAGGAAAAGAAACCAACAGGGAUUGCCCUAGUAACGGCGAGUGAAGCGGCAACAGCUCAAAUUUGAAAUCUGGCGCAAGCCCGAGUUGUAAUUUGUAGAGGAUGCUUCUAGGUAGCGACCGGUCUAAGUUCCUUGGAACAGGACGUCAUAGAGGGUGAGAAUCCCGUAUGUGACUGGCCCGCACCUUCUACGUAGCUCCUUCGACGAGUCGAGUUGUUUGGGAAUGCAGCUCUAAAUGGGAGGUAAAUUUCUUCUAAAGCUAAAUACCGGCCAGAGACCGAUAGCGCACAAGUAGAGUGAUCGAAAGAUGAAAAGCACUUUGGAAAGAGAGUUAAAAAGCACGUGAAAUUGUUGAAAGGGAAGCGCUUACAACCAGACUUCUGGGCGGUGUUCCGCCGGUCUUCUGACCGGUCUACUCGCCGUCCCGAGGCCAACAUCAUCUGGGACCGCCGGAUAAGACCUUAGGAAUGUGGCUCCCCUCGGGGAGUGUUAUAGCCUGUGGUGAUGCGGCGCGUCUCGGGUGAGGUCCGCGCUUCGGCAAGGAUGUUGGCGUAAUGGUUGUCAGCGGCCCGUCUUGAAACACGGACCAAGGAGUCUAACAUCUAUGCGAGUGUUCGGGUGUCAAACCCCUACGCGUAAUGAAAGUGAACGGAGGUGGGAAGGGCAACCUGCACCAUCGACCGAUCCUGAUGUCCUCGGAUGGAUUUGAGUAAGAGCAUAGCUGUUGGGACCCGAAAGAUGGUGAACUAUGCCUGAAUAGGGUGAAGCCAGAGGAAACUCUGGUGGAGGCUCGCAGCGGUUCUGACGUGCAAAUCGAUCGUCAAAUUUGGGUAUAGGGGCGAAAGACUAAUCG